CUGACUUUGUGCUUUGCUCCCAUCUGUAAUGACUCUGAAUUUAUGUUUUUUGUAUCAUGUCUUGUUGUGUCUUUGUUUUGAUUUUCCAUGCCCCUCUGUGUCCUUUAAGUUUCUAUGUUCUCCCCUCUGUCUGUUGUAUUGUUCCCUUCACGUUUUCUCAUGUGCUCCUCCCCCUCAUUACCACACCUGGCCUCCUCCCUCCUCACCUGUUCCUCGUCUGUUCAUCAGCGUCUGUGUUUUUAGUCUGUGUCUUCCCUUCACUCCUUGUCCGAUCAUUGUAUUCUGUCUGUCUCUGUCUGCGUCAGCCUCCGGUCAUGCGCCUGCUCCUGUUCAUGUCAUGUCCUCCCAGUCUCCCCAUGGUACUGUUAUAUCUGUCUCACAGAGGAAGUGGCGAGCUGAAGCUCUUUGGGAGAUUCAAUGUUCAACAUUCCCGUAACACUCUCCACAUGGUCAAUGAUGACUUGGUCCUCCAGCAGCAGAUACUCAUGCAUAUUCUCCACCAUAACUGCAUUGGCCAAGAAGCCUCUUUGUACAGAGGUUUUGCCAUGGGACAUGAUCUCCCAGAGGUGGCACCUCUCUGCUUUGGUGGACAACUGCUAACGGUAGAAUUCAUCCAAUCUGUCAUCCAGUGGCUGUCUCUGUUGAAGCUCGUCAUAACACUGGAUGAACUCCAUCAGGACUCCAUCAAAGGAUCCCUUAUGUAUGGAGCCAGAUUCCACGAAGAUCUGAAGAACUCUGAGUUCAUUCUUUGCUCCUGAUGAGCACUCUUGGGUUGAGCUUUGAGACAGUUUGACAACUCUGAUUGAAUUGUAGCUUCAGCGUUUGGGUGUUCCUUUCUGUGAUCCUCAAGAACUCAUGCUGUAAGAAAUCCAACAUUAAUCAUUCAGAUUUGUUAUAUCAUGGUUGUCCGCAUCAUUAUAUUCUAACUGUAUUAGCUUCAGUGCUGUGGUGGUGUUUCUGAACUUGUACAGUAACUCUCAAAGCAAUGUGAAAGGAUCCUCACUCAUAAAUGGGAGCAUGGCUUUAUUACCUUUCCUGCUUUCUUAAGACAGGAACAAUUUCCUUUGCAACCAUGAAAAAGUCCAGUUUUGCUUGAGAGACACUCUCUCCAUUAAUAAUCUCCGCAGCUUUGCUUGACCACUUUUUGGACGGGUCUUCAAAAAGGACAAUAUCUGAAGACUCCCCUACGCCGCCUCAACAUUUUCCAGCCAUCUGUAAUGACAAAAAUCAUGGGGGAAUCUUGCAGACUAAUGGCUUACAAUGUUGUCUUAUCUUAAAAAGAUACUUAAGAUCAACAGCUUCCAGUUGGUGCUUGCCGGGCUGUGGAAACUGAUAUCUGUGCAUACAUAACAUUCAAUUUUCUCAUGCAUUUGAUCUGCAGCUAGAUGCUUAUGAUAACAUAAUGUAAGUGCCUUGUUUGCAAACAAUGGUCAUGCUCAUUUCAAAGUUCAAACUUUCAUCAAACAAAAGCAAUCAUACUGAAUCUUUCUUUACUUCAUCAGUGAAGAGAAAUGGGAUGCUAUCUCCUCACAAGUUAACUUAUUUUACAUGAAAGGAUUUGUAACUGUUGCCCAACUAAUUUUUUCCAUCGGUGCUGGGUUUGAGGUAAUAAAAUGUUCAGUGUGUUAUCACCGCUUAUUGCAGUAGCUGUUGUUUCAGCAUUUAAUGUUGAAGUAUCACUGAGGAGUACUUUUGAUGUCAGGUGGAAGUAAACCCCUAAGGUGGAACCUGCCCUGGUCUUUGAGAGGUCUUCAUGCUUCUUGCCUUGAACAAGUCAGGGAAAAAUAAAACGGAAACAAAAUAAGGAUACAGCAGAAAAUUGGCCACUCAGUUAUAUAAGUUACUAGAACAAGCUCCAUCAAGUAUAAUCUGACACACUUAAUCAAUUAUUGCAAUUUAAUUAGAGCAGUGCAUCAUCAUUAGCAAAAUUACAGGAAGGU
rnacentral:lncRNA from 1 species